UACGUAGGGUGCGAGCGUUAAUCGGAAUUACUGGGCGUAAAGGGUGCGCAGGCGGAUAUAUAAGUUAGGUGUGAAAUACCUGAGCUCAACUUAGGAAUUGCACUUAAGACUGUAUAUCUAGAGUAUGUGAGAGGGGGGUAGAAUUCCAGGUGUAGCAGUGAAAUGCGUAGAGAUUUGGAGGAAUACCGGCGGCGAAGGCGGCCCCCUGGCAUAAUUACUGACGCUCAUGCACGAAAGCGUGGGUAGCAAACAGG
rnacentral:rRNA from 1 species